UCCGAAAACAGUUUGAACAGGGAGCUCAAAGCACUCGUUGAUGGAGUGGACACGCGCUGUGUGAGACUGAGAGCCUCGGCAGGGGGGACUGCCCACGGGUUCGGCCGGAGCAGCCGGACGGAAGGGGCUGUGGAUGACAGAGGCAGAAGCUGGCAGAGAAGCAGGUUGGAGGAGAAGAUUAGGGGCUGCACGUGGGGCCUAGUUGAGAUGCCGAUCUAGCCCUCAAGUGGAGUUGUCAACUAAGCAGCUGGAAACACGCAUCCGGAGUUCAGAGGAGAGGUCCAGACGGGAGAUCACAAGGAGGGAGAUGGCCAUGUUAAAUACAGGAACACUGAACGGCUUGAGGCCCGGGGAGCUCACAAGGAAGGACCGUGGAGAGAAAGGAAGAGGGACCUGAGGCCUGAGUCUGGAGGCGUGGUGGUGGCGUCCCAAGGCCUGGGAGGUCUUCUGUUAAGUUUCUCAGGAUCCACAUAGGAGUGAAAACAGAUGGGCGGCCGCACCAGUUUGCAUUCCCAGCAACGGUGCAAGAGGGUUCCCGUUUCUCCACAUCCUCGCCAGCAUCUGUAGUCUCCUGACUUACUCAUUUUAGCCACUGACCGGCGUGAGGUGGUAUCUCAGUGUGGUUUUGAUUGGUAUUUCCCUGACGAGGAGUGACAAUGAGCAUCUUUUCAUGUGCCCGUUGGCCAUCCGGAUGUCUUCUUUAGAGAAGUGUCUAUUCAUGUCUUCUGUGUCAAGUCGUGGUCUCACCUUUCAUGAGAUAGAGCCCAGGAACAGGCUCGGGGCAGACGGUGUGGAGCCUGCUUGGGUUUCUCUCUCCCUCUGUCUCUGCUCCUCCCCGCCCUGUGCACACAGUCUCCCUCUCUCUCUCUCUCUCUC